CUCCCCUCCCCCUUACCCCCCCUUUUUUCUGAUCACCUGAGACCAUCGCCUCCCUGCCGCUGCCGCCUCCUCACCGCAGCAUCUCCGGUCUCUCUCCCUCUCUCCGACUUUCCGUUCGAUUUCAGCGCAAGUCAAAGAGAAGCAGGAGGCUGUGUAAUCGCGAUUGGAGCUCCACCUGCGAUUCCGGGCACCUGAGUGCGAGUCACGCCGACCUGAGCUCCUUGCUCCGUCCCUUCGCCGUUCAUCUUCUCUCUCCUCUUCCGGCGAGCGCAGCAAGAGUGAGCUGCGAUUUCACUUCGAUUGGCAGACUCCUUCAGCGCUACCCUCUGCUUCUCCGGCAAGACCAACUAAAGACCGGCCGAUUAGACCCUUCCCUUGUCGCUAAAAGCUUCGCCGGCCACUGUUUUCGUCAGUUCCGAUCAAGCUAACGCCGGCAGAGCCGGAUUUUGGGUAUUUGGGUUACCACCGAUGACUUGAACCGGAAAUUAUUCAACUUCCGAUGCAUUUUGUAGCCAGGAAGUAGCAUUUUCUAAAUCCCAGCUAUAACUCUGCUCUUCACCGUU